rnacentral:rRNA from 1 species
UACAGAGGUCCCAAGCGUUGUUCGGAUUCACUGGGCGUAAAGAGUGUGUAGGCGGUGCUCCAAGUCUGUUGUGAAAUCUCCCGGCUUAACUGGGAGGGUGCGGCGGAAACUGGAGUGCUCGAGUGUGGGAGAGGUAAGCGGAAUUCCUGGUGUAGCGGUGAAAUGCGUAGAUAUCAGGAGGAACACCUGUGGUGUAGACAGCUUACUGGACCACGACUGACGCUGAGACACGAAAGCGUGGGUAGCAAACAGG